GAGACUGAGGGGUAUGGGGUGACUGGAGAGCCGGUGGGGGCAGUCAGCGAAGACAGACUUAACCACAAUAUACAGAACACAGCAAAAUUUAUCUUGACCU